AGUGUGUCACUUGGGUCACAUUAGGUUUCAGUCAUCUGAGACCAUCUUUCAAGGGCCGUCACUCCAAUUAUGAGUCUGGGAUUUUCUGAAACUGAGCAUUUUGGCCAGGCUGUGGGGGCCCUCUGUGGCUGCCUGUAAGACACUGCCAAGGGGACUUUCUUCCUCUCACCAGACUGAAGCUAAGAAGUGCUGGAGACAGCAGUUGCUUUAGCCACAGGCUGUGUAGACCACCUGAGGAUGAUCUGGAGGUCUGUUUUGUGCACCUUGGAACCCAUCGGAUCCCUCCAAUGACACAUUUGUCCAGAGCAAGACAAGAUCACACUUUGACAGCCGUCUGUCAAGAUCCUUGCUCCAAAUAUCCAGACUAGCAGCUAGGAGUCUCCAUGCUGUUCUGAAGAAGCAGAUUCCUCACCCACCCUUCAACUCCUUCCCAGGAGGUAAUCCUCCUCCAAAUCUCUGGAAAAGAUACACCUCCUCUUCUCUGAUAAAGGCUAGGGGGUGAUGCCCCUCCCCCAGGUUCCCAAUAAAGCUAUGCAAGACAGGGGCAAGGGAUCUCACGGCCUGUUUUUGCUACAAAAACCCUUUUUCGGAAAAAAUAAUAAAGAAAGGAAUCAGCCAAUCCCUC
rnacentral:antisense_RNA from 1 species